GUGCCAGCCGCCGCGGUAAUACCGGCAGCCCGAGUGAUGGCCGAUCUUAUUGGGCCUAAAGCGUCCGUAGCUGGCUGCGCAAGUCCGUCGGGAAAUCCACUCGCCCAACGAGUGGGCGUCCGGCGGAAACUGCACGGCUUGGGACCGGAAGGCUCGAGAGGUACGUCCGGGGUAGGAGUGAAAUCCCGUAAUCCCGAACGGACCACCGAUGGCGAAAGCACCUCGAGAAAACGGAUCCGACAGUGAGGGACGAAAGCUAGGGUCUCGAACCGGAUUAGAUACCCGUGUAGUCC
rnacentral:rRNA from 1 species